CCUACGGGAGGCAGCAGUGAGGAAUAUUGGUCAAUGGGCGCGAGCCUGAACCAGCCAAGUCGCGUGAGGGAAGACGGUCCUAUGGAUUGUAAACCUCUUUUGUCGGGGAGAAAAAGACUCCACGCGUGGCGUUCCGAGAGUACCCGAAGAAAAAGCAUCGGCUAACUCCGUGCCAGCCGCCGCGGUAAUACGUAGGGGGAAAGCGUUAUCCGGAUUUACUGGGUGUAAAGGGAGCGUAGACGGCAGCACAAGUCUGGAGUGAAAUCCCGGGGCUUAACCCCGGAACUGCUUUGGAAACUGUGCGGCGUGAGUGCAGGAGGGGUAAGCGGAAGUGCGAGUGUAGCGGUGAAAUGAGUAGAUAUUAGGAGGAACACAGGUGGCGAAGGCGGCUUACUGGACUGUAACUGACGUUGAGGCUCGAAAGCGUGGGGAGCAAACAGGAUUAGAUACCCUAGUAGUC
rnacentral:rRNA from 1 species